rnacentral:rRNA from 1 species
UACGUAGGGACCAAGCGUUGUUCGGAUUUACUGGGCGUAAAGGGCGCGUAGGCGGCGCGGUAAGUCACUUGUGAAAUCUCUGAGCUUAACUCAGAACGGCCAAGUGAUACUGCAGUGCUAGAGUGUGGAAGGGGCAAUCGGAAUUCUUGGUGUAGCGGUGAAAUGCGUAGAUAUCAGGAGGAACACCGAUGGCGAAGGCAGGUCACUGGGCCGCAACUGACGCUGAGGAGCGAAAGCAUGGGGAGCGAACAGG